rnacentral:rRNA from 1 species
GAACGGUAACAGGCCCGCAAGGGUGCUGACGAGUGGCGGACGGGUGAGGAAUACAUCGGAAUUUGCCCAGUCGUGGGGGAUAACGUAGGGAAACUUACGCUAAUACCGCAUACGACCUAACGGUGAAAGCGGGGGAUCGCAAGACCUCGCGCGGAUGGAUAAGCCGAUGUCGGAUUAGCUAGUUGGCGGGGUAAAGGCCCACCAAGGCGACGAUCCGUAGCUGGUCUGAGAGGAUGAUCAGCCACACUGGGACUGAGACACGGCCCAGACUCCUACGGGAGGCAGCAGUGGGGAAUAUUGGACAAUGGGGGCAACCCUGAUCCAGCAAUGCCGCGUGUGUGAAGAAGGCCUUCGGGUUGUAAAGCACUUUUAUCAGGAACGAAACACGCACGGUUAAUAACCUUGCGGACUGACGGUACCUGAGGAAUAAGCACCGGCUAACUUCGUG